rnacentral:rRNA from 1 species
AUUGAACGCUGGCGGCAGGCCUAACACAUGCAAGUCGAACGAGUGGCGGACGGGUGAGUAAUGUCUGGGAAACUGCCCGAUGGAGGGGGAUAACUACUGGAAACGGUAGCUAAUAUCGCAUACCAUCGGAUGUGCCCAGAUGGGAUUAGCUUGUGGGUGGGGUAAUGGCUCACCUAGGAGACGAUCCCUAGCUGGUCUGAGAGGAUGACCGGCCACACUGGGACUGCGACACGGCCCAGACUCCUCCGGGAGGCAGAAGUGGGGAAGAUUGCACAAGGGGCGCAAGCCUGAUGCGGCAAUGCAGCGUGUAGGAAGAAGGCCCUAGGGUUGUAAAGUACUUUCAGUGGGGAGGCGUUACAGACAGAAGAAGCACCGGCUAACUCCGUGCCAGCAGCCGCGUUAAUUC